rnacentral:tRNA from 3 species
GGGCCCUUAGCUCAGUUGGUAGAGCAGCUGACUCUUAAUCAGCUUGUCGCAGGUUCGAAUCCUGCAGGGCUCACCA